CGGUGGCCAUAGUGGAAGGGAAACACCGGUCCCAUUCCGAACCCGGUCGUUAAGCCUUCCAACGCUGAUGGUACUGCACGAGGGAUCGUGUGGGAGAGUAAGACGCUGCCGGAAUA
rnacentral:rRNA from 1 species